GUGCUUUGGCAGCACAUAUAUUAAAACUGGAACGAUACAGAGAAGAUUAGCAUGGCCCCUGUGCAAGGCUGACGUGCAAAUUCGUGAAGUGUUCCAUAUUUUU
rnacentral:snRNA from 1 species